UGGCGAACGGGUGAGUAACACGUGAGUAACCUGCCCUUAACUCUGGGAUAAGCCUGGGAAACUGGGUCUAAUACCGGAUAUGACUCCUCAUCGCAUGGUGGGGGGUGGAAAGCUUUAUUGUGGUUUUGGAUGGACUCGCGGCCUAUCAGCUUGUUGGUGAGGUAAUGGCUCACCAAGGCGACGACGGGUAGCCGGCCUGAGAGGGUGACCGGCCACACUGGGACUGAGACACGGCCCAGACUCCUACGGGAGGCAGCAGUGGGGAAUAUUGCACAAUGGGCGCAAGCCUGAUGCAGCGACGCCGCGUGAGGGAUGACGGCCUUCGGGUUGUAAACCUCUUUCAGUAGGGAAGAAGCGAAAGUGACGGUACCUGCAGAAGAAGCGCCGGCUAACUACGUGCCAGCAGCCGCGGUAAUACGUAGGGCGCAAGCGUUAUCCGGAAUUAUUGGGCGUAAAGAGCUCGUAGGCGGUUUGUCGCGUCUGCCGUGAAAGUCCGGGGCUCAACUCCGGAUCUGCGGUGGGUACGGGCAGACUAGAGUGAUGUAGGGGAGACUGGAAUUCCUGGUGUAGCGGUGAAAUGCGCAGAUAUCAGGAGGAACACCGAUGGCGAAGGCAGGUCUCUGGGCAUUAACUGACGCUGANGAGCGAAAGCAUGGGGAGCGAACAGGAUUAGAUACCCUGGUAGUCCAUGCCGUAAACGUUGGGCACUAUGUGUGGGGGACAUUCCACGUUUUCCGCGCCGUAGCUAACGCAUUAAGUGCCCCGCCUGGGGAGUA
rnacentral:rRNA from 1 species